CCUACGGGAGGCAGCAGUGAGGAAUAUUGGUCAAUGGCCGUAAGGCUGAACCAGCCAAGUCGCGUGAAGGAAGAAGGAUCUAUGGUUUGUAAACUUCUGUUGAAGGGGAAAAAGAGCGGAGAGAGGAAAUGAACUCCGAUUGAUAUUACCCUUCGAGGAAGUCACGGCUAACUACGUGCCAGCAGCCGCGGUAAUACGUAGGUGGCGAGCGUUAUCCGGAAUGAUUGGGCGUAAAGGGUGCGUAGGCGGCCUGCUAAGUCUGGAGUGAAAGGUACCGGCUCAACUGGUACAGGCUCUGGAAACUG
rnacentral:rRNA from 1 species